UUCACCGGAAGUUUGGGCAAAUCCCUAAGAACGAUCUGGGAGUCCACCACCUGUUUUUGACACCCAACUUAGUGCACCAAAUUCACAUAAAAAAACUCAAAACAACGCCGCACCUACGCGCAAUCUCAAACCCCGCCGCGGGUAACAAUUCUCCCCACACCAACCAAACUGCAGCGGCGCUGCUUAAAAAUUCCAUAACUUUAAAAUUAAGACGGCAGUGGUGUCAAACAAAAACUCCAGAGGCAACUACAUAAAAUUCCCCACAAGUUUUGUAUACAAUUUAUGAUUAAAUUCUAACAUCUAAUUACCCCUAAACGGUCCACAAAAUAAACCCUGCAAUCUGUUUUUCCUGUUUUGGGCAGCGACAUACUCGGAUUCAAACAGCGAUAACUUUUAAAAUAUAAUUCCGAAUCAAGCGCAUAAGUACUUGUUGGAAAGAUAAGAAAGAGCCCUUCAUGAUUCUUAUACUGAUUAACCCUAAUUACUCCCGAAAAAUCCCCAGAAACUGCUAAUACUGCUGCUGUUCAUCCCCCUGAAAAUCUGUUUUUUUUUGGACAGCCACAUACCCGGAUUCAAACGGUAAUAACUUUCAAUUUAUAACUCCAAAUUGAGCGCAUAAAUACUCGUUGGAAAGGUAAGACAAAGUUCUACAUGAUCCCCAAACUGGUUCCCCUUAAUUUCUCACGAAAAAAACACAGAAACGGCUAGAACUACUGCUGUUCAUCCACCACCUAAAAUUCUGGACAGCCCCCUCUACCCAAUCGCAAACGCAACCUCUAAUCAAUUGAAUUGCAGCGCUAAUGAACAAGGGAUGAACACAAAAAUCACCUUGGAUUCUCCCCCUUUCCUUCCUCCCUUCUUCCCUCCACCAAAACGAUUGAAGACUCGCACCACGUGACGAUGAUCCGAGCGGCAAGGAUUGGCACCUUGGGAGGAGGAGAUUGGGGGGGGGGCGGCUAGGGUUUGGUGGUGUGGCUGCAAGAAUUGAGAGAGGAGAAGAUGGGCAGGGGGGCCG
rnacentral:lncRNA from 1 species